UCGGAGUUACUGAGGUCUCCACGGCACUGGAAGAGGCCGUAAACGACGUUGGAGUCCGGGAGAGAAAUCUUGAAAUUGUUGUAGUUUGAGAAGGCGGCUGAGUUAACUAGGGAUGCGAGGAUUGAGUUGACGUUUGACUCGUAAGGUGUCCCCGGGUUGUAUUUGAGCUGAGAACAACCCGCAUAUAUGAAAGAUUGUAAAGCAGAAGUUGAAGGGUGUGCAAGAAAUGAAAAAACCAGAAGAUAACUACAAAUAGAUAAUACAGAGAACAUUUGCUGAGCAUGCAUGUUCACUUUCGCCAGAAUUCUGUGUCUGUGUAUGAGAGAGAGAUGGGAUUAUAAUAAAACGUUACUUGUGUGUGUGUGUGUGUGUGCUGGGGCUACCCCGAGCUGUGGGGUGAUCGGAAUUUGCAGAUGCCUUGAGAAGAAAUUACGUAAGAAUCGAGGAUUGAGUUGACGUUUGACUCGUAAGGUGUCCCCGGGUUGUAUUUGAGCUGAGAACAACCCGCAUAUAUGAAAGAUUGUAGAGCAGAAGUUGAAGGGUGUGCAAGAAAUGAAAAAACCAGAAGAUAACUACAAAUAGAUAAUACAGAGAACAUUUGCUGAGCAUGCAUGUUCACUUUCGCCAGAAUUCUGUGUCUGUGUAUGAGAGAGAGAUGGGAAUAUUAUAAAACGUUGCUUGUGUGUGUGUGCUGGGGCUACCCCGAGUUGUGGGGUGGGGUGGUGUGGGGUGAUCGGAAUUUGCAGAUGCCUUGUGAAGAAAUUACGUAAGAAGGUGAGUGUAAUGGAUUGAUGUAUGAUGGUUCUCUAGCAUGUGCUACGAAGGUGAUGAAUGAUUACAUAUAAGUGUGAACUCCCAAUUAAAUUCCUUAUACAAAUUAAAUAUGUACCACUUAACAAAUGAUGAGGUGGAAAUAUUGUAUUAAUUGAUUUGAUUUUUAUUUUGUCCAACGUCUAAAAAAAUCUUGAGCAAGCAAUCUGUCAAAAUAAUUGUCAAACAUUUCUGUACAUGUAGCAUAUCUGAAUAAAGAAAAGUAAAAAGUUUCAGACUGAAAUUUUCAUUUUGGUUCGAUUGGACAUAUGAUCCAAUUCGAUUGCAUUUUCAUGAAGCCUAACUUGAAUUGCGUAACAUUGAAAAUUAAUCAAGAAACAGAGUAACCAAAAUCAUGUUUUUGGUUCGAUGUAAUCUUUAUCUUUGUAGUUCAAAAACAAUUAUGAAGUUUAUACACAAUUUAUACAUUUCACUUUCGUACUUUAUUAUUAUUAAUAUAACAAAGAAGAAUAUCAGUCUAGAUAAAUAUUAAUUCGUAUCAAUUUGUAUAUAAGAAAUGGUUAAUCAACAGGAUAUAUUUCACUAAAGUUCAUGUCAAACCUCUAUUAACCCUUAUCUUACUCGGCACGAAGGACUCGAAGAAGUCAAUCGGAAUUAACUUAAACUUCAAUGAAAAUCUGAGUGUAAUGGAUUGAUGUAUGAUGGUUCUCUAGCAUGUGCUACGAAGGUGAUGAAUGAUUA
rnacentral:lncRNA from 1 species